UACGUAAGGGGCAAGCGUUGUCCGGAAUCAUUGGGCGUAAAGAGCGUGUAGGCGGCUCGGUAAGUCCGCUCUGAAAGCCCGGGGCUCAACCCCGGGAGGCGGGCGGAUACUGUCGGGCUAGAGUCCGGAAGAGGCGAGUGGAAUUCCUGGUGUAGCGGUGAAAUGCGCAGAUAUCAGGAGGAACACCAAUGGCGAAGGCAGCUCGCUGGGACGGUACUGACGCUGAGAGCGCGAAAGCGUGGGGAGCAAACAGG
rnacentral:rRNA from 1 species